GUCAAAUUAUCACUUAUCGGGCUAUCGAGAUAUUCAUUUUCAAACUUUUUCCUUCUAAUUAGUUAAUUAAUAGUUUCGUCCUCAAUCUUUUUACAUGGGAAAUUAAAUUAUUUUAAAUUUUGCGCAUUUUUCAUUCUUAUUUUGACCAAUCACAUUAAUUGUUUACGGACCAAUUUUGUUCAAAUAUAACAGGUCUCACUGUAUUCAGUCAUUAUAUUAGUACUAUUGAUUUCAUCAUCAUGAACUUCUCAACAAAAAAUUUCACUUCAUGUAAACUCUGUGUGGACCACCCAUUGAGUAGAUGGCUCAAAAGGAUACGCUUUUUAAGAAUGAAAGGAAAGUUUCCAAGUGAAAACGUGGAAAAGGAUAGUAAAAUGAUUUCUAUGGGAUUGAAGCUGACCAAGGAGUACAAAGUGCCACCUUGCUCUUGUCAUUUUAAAGUGCCUAUUCCUGUAGAUUACGAUAAGUCGAUGAGAGUUGCUGACCUUGUUUUUGGCGCUAACAAGUCAUCAUCUCGUCCACCCAUCGUCUCCGAAAUUGAGAUAUUAAAAUAAUUAUGAUUUCUUUUUACUCAUCGAUUCCAGGAUUGAUUGAUAUUAUUAAUAAGUGAACUUGGAAAACGUUUGAUUUUUGAAUGAUUUCGAGUCCAUUCAGUUUAUUGAUAACAAAUGGUCAUCAAAUUAACAACUAUUAAAGGUUAUCACUAUUAAAUAAUCAAAUUAUAUUUGAUGAUUGGAAGAUGAUUAUAAUAAAUGACCUUUCAAGAAUCGA